AGCCCCGUGGUGUAGUGGUCAAUCAUACUAGGCUCUGGACCUGGUGACGUCGGUUCGAAUCCGGCCGGGGCUG
rnacentral:tRNA from 1 species